AAUGAACGUUGGCAGCGUGGAUUAGGCAUGCAAGUCGAGCGACAAGGCCCUUCGGGGCUGGAGGAGCGGCAAACGGGGUAGUAAGGCAUCGGAACGUACCCUCUUGUCCGGAAUAGCCGCGGGAAACUGCGAUUAAUGCCGGAUAAUCUCGAAAGAGCAAAGGUCCGCCGCGGGAGGAGCGGCCGAUGUGAUAUCAGGUAGUUGGCGGGGUAACGGCCCACCAAGCCAUCGACGUCUAGGGGAUGUGAGAGCAUGAUCCCCACCACUGGGACUGAGAUACUGCCCAGACACCUACGGGUGGCUGCAGUCGAGAAUCUUCGGCAAUGGGCGCAAGCCUGACCGAGCGACGCUGCGUGCGGGAUGAAGGCCCUUGGGUUGUAAACCGCUGUCAGAGGGGAUGAAAGCGAAAGCUUGACAGAGCCUCAGAGGAAGCGCGGGCUAAGUUCGUGCCAGCAGCCGCAGUAAAAC
rnacentral:rRNA from 1 species